UCGGAGAGUUAACUGCUGACAUCAGACUUGUUUAGUUUUCCUGUGUUUUCAAGAAUAACCCUGUUUAUUUUGGCACAACUCAGUACAGUCAAUGAUUUAUUGUUCAUCGCAAGGAAUGGACAAGACUCAAGCACAACGUUCAGUGAAAUGGCUUCGAUGCCCAAAAACAAGAAACAGAUGGAAUCAAAAACUUCCCAGAGUUCGUAUGUACUGUAUGCAGCUUAUAUAUAUAUAUAUAUAUUCAAUUCACGAAGAAGAUAUUAGAGAGCAAAAAAGACUCAUCCACGAAGAACAUCAUUCAGUGAAAUGUCUAAACGUUCGCACCAAUGAAGCAAGAAGUUACUCAUGUGCAGUCAACUAAUUGGCGACGCUCCAUACCGCAAAGUUCCGGUCCAGCAAAGCAGAACGAUGAGGAAACAGCUGGAAGAUCGUUAUGGAAUGCUCGACUGAUUUUUACAUUUGCGAUUUUGGAAUUUAUGCAUGUCUUUUCUGUUUGUUUAUAUUUCGUGUUGUAUUUUUAUUUUGCUUGUGUCGUUCGAUAUGUGUAUGUGCCAUCCGAUACUGUACCGCGGCCCAAUGUCAUUUGCCCAAAGCUCACAAACACAACCGCUGAAUCCCGAAUCACGCAGUUGUCCACGGUGACAUUACUUGGUAAACGACCUCCAACAUGGUCAAAAUCCCCGGGAUUAAUAGGAAGGAGAGAUAGCAAUAUUAGAAUUAUCGGGUAGGCGCCCAGUACGGAUUUCCGCCAAUGCCUCCGACUCGCGUCAUGUCAGGGUGUCUAACGGCAAAAGAAUUACCGGUUAAUUUUGAGCACAAUGCGCCUUGUCAUCUCUUGCGCAAACGAUAUGGAAUAGAUAAUAAUAAUUGACAUGUUCACUGAAAUUUUUAAGGCUUCACCAGGUUAUGUACUAUCGGGGUGAAAGACUGUUCGUUCGAAAGCGAAUUUUUGUCCUCUGAAGGUAGUAGCGUUAUCGGAUUUUCAAUAUUUGACUUAGUUCACUAGAAAAUGGUAAAGUAUUGUGAGAAAAUGGGAAAUUUUUUACUGAUUGGCACGGUUUUUCGCUACUGCCAUAGAACGAAACAUUAAUCAAUCCGUACUUUUGAUAAAACACACACUUCUAGGGUGGCAGGAUAACUAACCCACGUGAGAAAUAUGAUUCGAACCGGCCUUGUGGUUUGGACGCUAAAGCUUCGACACGCAGAACUACUGAGUGUAAUCAUGUCCUAGAACUUAGAGCAGAGAUCCAAAAGGGAUGUGCCGUUUCAUUGAAAAGAGGUAGAAAUUUAGAAACAGCGAUCACGGCGCUGAGAGUUAGUGUAAUAAGAAUUCAUGCAUUUUGUUACCCAGAAGCUUGGAAAGCCUCUGCGACAAAGAUGGAGGUCUCGUGGUUUGUACCGUUUGCAAGUAGAUAGAUUGAGCAGAAUUUGACAUUCAGGUAGAGGUGGUGGAGGAAUUAUAUGGCCAUUAUUCUCAGUCGUUCUGUCUGUGUGUCGAAGCUGUAACGUCUAAACGGUUAGGCCGAUUUGGAUGAUAUUUCUCACGUGGGGUUAUCCUCUGUCACCCUAGUAGUGUGCGUUGCACCAAAAGUACUUAUUGAUGUUUCGUUUCCAUAGCAGCAACGAAAAACGCGCCGAUCAGUAAAAAUGUUUACAUUUUCUCAUAAUUUUUCUCCAUUUUCUGGUGAUCUAGGUCGAAUAUUAAAUUUCGAACGCUACCUUCCGCGGACGAAAAUACGCUUUCGAAGGAAUCGUCUUUCAUUUCAAUAGUCCAUGAACUGGGCCAGCCUUAGGAAUUUUAGUGAAGAUGUUUCAAUUAUUAGCAACAGCAUAUCGUUUGCGCAAGGAUACCGACGCGGCGCACAGCUCCCAAAUUAACUGGCAGGUCUUUUAGGAACCCUGAAAUAACGCGGGCCUGAAGCAUCGGCGGAGAUUCAUGAUAUAUAUUCACCACCCACCACAAGCAAACCUGUAUUGUCAGAAACAUUGAUUGGAUUCAUAACAUUUCAGUGGAAUGAAAGUCCGCACCAAUGGAGCGAGAAGUCGCUCAUGUGCAGUCAACUAAAUUAAAAAGUUUUUUAUUUUAUUUUAAUUAGGCAUAAAUACACGCGAAAGUACACCGAUAGUUAUGUCAACAAAAGCUUUUAUUUUCGCUUACGUUGCAACUUCAAUGCAAGCUAACUUCGCCGUCUAAGGCCGAAGUGUAACAAAUUUGCAAAAAAUAUAAAUUUGCAUUAGUAAACAAAUAGGAAAGUAACAGUAAUCUAUCAAAAUUGCUACAUAGUUUCUUAUUACUUAUCGAUCUUUAACCGAUAUUCUAGUUUGACUAUUACCUAAUUUGGUUGAAUUUAAGAACUUCUUCAUUACUUGUGUAGAUUAAUAGUAUAUUAUUCUCUCUGUAUUUUAUAACGGUAAAUUAUAAAUCAUCGUA